rnacentral:misc_RNA from 1 species
UGACGCGAAUCGAUCAGCCAGUGUUUACAUUAGAUAACGUAUCAAAUGUCUUUACGAAAUUAUGAUAGUCGGGUGUAAAAGGAAGUAUUUAUACAGGACCAGUUUAUAAAAUAUUUAACUUGUUUAACUGCUUCAAUAUCGAUGUGUUUUUAACAAACAAAUAACUUUAAGUUGUUUAUAUUUGAAGAAACGGAUACUAGUAAACACUUCUGCUGUAUAUGUAUUAAAACUUGAUCGUUUGAAUAGUGUAGGUGUUCGAAAAUUUGAUGACUGAUAUAAUUCAUAGUCUGAACGUUUGAUUAUAAUAUCAUUUGUGAAAAAUAACCGUAAACAUGGAAGUCGCUGGAAGAAGAGUUAUUGAUGAUGAGGGAGAUAUUGUUGAAGAAAUUGACAUCGAAUGUGAACCAUGCAAGGGUGAGCAUGUUGAAACCACAGCGAAUGGAAUGUGUCGUGAAUGUGAAGAAUAUAUGUGUAACACAUGUUUUCGGCAUCAUUUGAAAGCUAAACAGUGUCGAAAUCACGUUCUGAUUGACACACAAAAUGUGUCUUUGAUAGCAGCUCAUAAAAGUACUGAAAAUGUUGAGAAGUGUAAACACCAUGCUAAUGAACAAAUAAAAUUUUACUGUCGUAAACAUGACAUUGUAGGAUGUGGUGAGUGUAUGAUACCAGAUCACAGUGGGUGUCACCCUGAAAAUAUAAAAGGCUUAGCUAGAGGGUUUGAAGUCACUGAAGAUUUUAAGUGUCUAAGGAAAAAACUUGAAGGACUUGGGAUGUCAAAUAAUGAAAACGAGAGAAAGCUCCGUGAAAACCAGAAAGCUAAUAAAUCGAUGUAUGAAAGAGCCUUGAAUGAUAUUAGAAAAUUUAGAAAAGAUGUCAACGAUUAUUUAGAUAAGGCGCAAAUAUAUGUAACAAAUGAGGCAAAGGACAUUGAAAAUAGGAACGCCAGUCUACUGACCAAGCUAGAGCAGAAUUGUCAUAUUCUUCCUCUGAAAUUACUGAAAUGGAACAAGAACUAAACACAGAACUGUACUUGGACAGUGCACUGUUUAUUCAGACUGUCAAUUGCAAGCCCUUAAUUCUUGCCAUUGAGCAUGGAGUAUCCAAAGUGCAAACAGCAAAUUGUAUCAAAGAAUUUGAAUUUGUACCAGAAAAGCAGAUGCAGCAUCUACGUAGCUCCGUACACAAUUUCGGGCGAAUUACAACUUCAGUUAGAGCAGUAAAUGCCAGAUUAGAAGCUAUGAAACUGCCUAUUGAAGGACGAGACAAGUCUAUUCAUCUUGAGGAGGAGCCUGUGGCGAAAACCAGAGACAAGAAGAAAAGUGGAAGGGCAUUUGUAACAUAUUUUUGUUAGAAGGUCACUCAUCGUGGUGUUCUCCGGCGGGAAAAUGACCAUGGCCGCGUACUGAUGAAGUCGAUGACAUGCCCGUCGUUAUUUGUGAAUCUAUCAGGAGAAAUUAACCAGGAAAUUUCAAGGACUGUUUCGAAUCUCGAUUCCAUGAAUACAAGAAGCGUUUGCAUCAUUCUGGAAAUAUUUUUGUUGUCUUACUUCGCCCCUCCCACACCGACACUGCACUGAUAUUGCGGAAAAACUUGCUAUUUGCUCUAUUGUAACUUGUCUGCAAUAAAUCAUAGCUAUGAAUGUGAAAUAUGUAUUAGAAGACUGUUAAAAAUUUUUAAGUUAUGGCUCUUGUCACGAAAAUAUCCGAACAUCCCUCAUAGUUUUUCUGGUCUAACUUGAAGUUUCCACCUGUUUAAGCAAAAUGAUAUUUCCACCACGUCUUGAUACAUGUAAGAUGUAAAUAAUAUUUUCUCUUGCGCAUCUGAAACGUUUUUUUACAAAUGAUCUCAAGAAUGAAAAGUUAAAAUAGUAAGAGAAAACAAAGUAUAAAAGAAUUAUAAAUAAUGUCAUUUUGUUUCAGACCUAAAAUCACCUAAAACAAUUGCUGUCGGUGCACGUGUACGUUUUGCAGGUGUGGGUCCUUUUACGACACAUAGAAAUCAGCCUGGUACUGUAACUGCUGUAAAUCACAACUCUUGUAGAGCCAUAGUGAAAUGGGAUGCAACAGGAUAUUCUAGAAGUUAUCAUAUGUCAUUACUUCAGCUUAUUUAAACAUUUUAUCACUUUUGGUGGUAAUGCUAUCAAAACGUUUUUUUUUUUUUUUUUGACAAAUAAACAGUUUAACAACUUUUUAUAUUCUGGAAGUUAUCACAUACUACUCUUAUUACCCAAAAAAAUGUAUAAACUGUAUUUUAAAUACGUACAUAGAGAACAGCCUGUGUUGUUACUAAUGAAAGGUUAUAGGACAACUGAAACAACGUGGUGAAAUAAUUCGGUUUUCGUCAAAAUAUAGGUUGGAAAGAGAAAUAUCUUUCAUCUUUUUUUUGAUAAUUCGACUGGAAGACUGUAUGAUUUCUAAAAUGAUUUCUGUAUUGAUAUGAUUUUUGAUCGGCUCCGUUUGGUUUUUGAAUGCUAAAAGUGUUUUAAUUUUUAUCAAAAUCUCUAA